GGACCAUUGUGUGAGCUACGUGGAGCUCCAUUUUCGGAAUACAAGAGCGGUAGCUACCGAGUCCACUUCAAGUUUGGUAAGUUUGUCACUCACGAUCUUUGUGUAGUUGUCAACGUUUCACUUGUUAAAUCGGUGAGCUACAGGAGAGAGCUGCGAGGAAAAAUCAUUGCUGGAGGAACUACGCAUGGGGCGAGUGGUGGUGGGCGUGUAUAAACUUUGACAUCAGUGUUGUGUGGUGGAAUGCCUUGCAAAGUUCCAAUCAUGCUACCGACACACAAGUGCUUUGCUUUAUCAUCGCUAGCGUCAGCUAUGCCAAGCUGUAUAUGUGACAAUGGCGAUCAAGUUAACCUACUGAGAAUCUUAAGAAGGCAACCACUUCUAUAAUUGAGUUCCUUUUUGUCUAAUAGGCCAAAUGAUGUUGAGAGCACUGGUUUUUUAUGUGAUAAUAGUCGGGAUCAAAGCAUCUAUAGUGGACAAGGGAGAACAAGGUUUAUUUGUAAGAGAAACUUUGGACUCAAUUGUAAAUGCCAUAUACGCUUUAAUUGAUGGUAUUGGAACAGGGCCUA